GGGGAGCCAGCCCACCCCUCCCUCCCUGUAAGAGAGGCCCCUCCAUUACCAUUACAACGGCUGAUGUCACAGACCCCACAAAGCAGCUGGGGCCCCAAGUGCAUGGUAACCCUAACCCCAGCAGUGACUGAAACAGAUAGAGGGGUGGCUCUCCCACACAAUGCCCGGACCCCCACUUCUCUCCUCCUCCUCCUUGCACUUCCUCAAGAGCUUUUGUCUUCUGGUCCCUUGGGCCCUGAGGCUCUCUCAUUCCCCAGCAACCACUGCCCAUUAAACUCAACGCUGAGGCCUCUGGGGGAAAGGAAAGGGUCUGGCACUUUCUCUCCCUCCCCUUAUCUCCACCUGCUAGUCCUGGUCUUCAUGUACCUGGUGAGCAGAUACGCCUCGCCCGUGAGCAAAGGGGCAAGCUGGUGAUGGUCUCACAUCCGUCCCAGGACCCCCCUCCCUCUCUGCUCCAGGAACCCCGCCAGGGCUGCUAUUCCCUCUCUGGAUAAGGCCUUGGGUUAGCCCCUUCACCGGUCAGUGCUCAGAAGCUACAGAGAAUGUUCUGGGGUGAGUCAGGUUCAGUUUGGCUUUGCGGGCUCCCGUGUCCGCAAAGCCCUCUGGUGUGCCAUCUCCCCAGCCGGCCGUGAGUCUCUGCGAUCUCAGAGAUGCAAGGUCCUCACGCCCACCGCAGCACGCUGACCUGGCUGGGCAGAGAAAGCUAGGAAUGGUGGCUGUACUGGUUUUUAAGUGUGACCUGGGGAUCAUGUGGGGAGCUCCGGGAAAAGGCUGGUGGCAGAGCCGUAGGUGUUGACAAGUCUGCCAGAGUCGUAGGAGGCAGAGAGGGGAGGUAACAGCUCAGAGCUUCUGGCUUUCCCUCAGGAGAGCUGUAUUUCCAAAGGGGUUUGGUUACCAUUCAGUGUUUUAGUCCUGAAUCUUUCCUAGACACUGAUGAAAGCCAUGGACUUUCAUGGCUUUCAUCAGUGUCUAGGAAAGAUUCACUGGGUGAAUGCGUGCUGGGGCAUCCACGUGACCAUGGACACUCCCACACACAUGGUCUAAGGGUCACCAACCCUGGGUUAAGAACUCCUGAAUGCUAGUAGAAGUUUUGGCACCAAAGAGACGGCAGAGAAUGUCCUAGGUGGUGGUGACGAGGAGAUGCCCCCUGGAGGACUGGCUCUACUCUGAGCCAGGCAGUUGGUUGAUUUGAAGGGCUUGUACCCGGUUCAUGAACAGGCGCUUGUCCCAAGGGGGCAAGCGCAGCGGGUGCUGUUACUCCAUUUCUGGCCUUAUGCCCCAUGGUUCCGUGUGUGCCCCCCACCCCCUGACCCCCGGGCUCUCUACUCAUCCUCCAGACCCCGGCCAACUUUUCACUCUAGCGUGGUCUGCCCCUGCAACCCUCCCACAGCUUAACACAAUCUGAACUGAACUCCCAGGCCCAGCUAGUGAACGCCCAGCUGCCUCCACACCUUCUUGCCUAACCAGACCCGCUUCCGCAUUAGGCCCUGAGGCCCGUCCCUUCCUUGCAAGGGGCUCUAAAACAGGCUCCUUCCUCCCCUUCCCCCACUCAGCUUUAUUCUGGAGAAUGCUACAUCCUCCCCUUCUGUUUGGACUAGGUGCCCUUUCGCAGCAAGGGCUGCUCUUCAAGCCACAGGAGGGCCAGGCUGCCCAGACCAGCGCUCCCCUUGACGGCGAGGAUACCCGUGUUAACUGGAUCGGCGGGAAACCCAACCCAGCAUUUUGGGGACGUUUCCAAGGGCUCCUUGCCUUGCGCAGCAGGUAGGCUUCCUCCCCCCAGUGGGCCUUUGCCUGCUCUAGUCCUCAGUCCGGUGCGGGGGGUGCGAUGGCUGCCGUCCGGCUCGCCCACCGCAGCUGCAAUAUACGAGGGGCGGAAGAACCAAAAAACCAUGAGACAACACCGUGGCUUUUGAAACAGAGUAAGGACCCAGAGACGGUGAGGCGGUUGAGCACAUCGUGAGAAGGAGAGCAGACAGACCAUCCUUUCGCUUGUGGAGCCAGAACUUCAGCCAGGAGAAGCCCCUGAGAACCCCAGGGUUGUCCAUACCCUCACACCUUUGACCUUCACAGAGCUUUCUAUUACCGGGGGCUGGUGCCCAGAUCUUCUGGCUGCCCUUGAGAGAGAUGGACAUAGACUACUAGAGUCUGGGGAGCACUCAACCAAGUCAGCGGCAUGAGGCAUGGUUCCGCUGGAUUCCACAGAACAGUGUUAGGAGGCCAGGAGACCCGCAGGCCAGCACUGAUCAACAGCACCGAUUCCACACCGACUCGCAAUGGUGAGUUCGCCCCUCCGAGCCUGGACUUCCACAUACAAUGGCCCUGUUAGGGCUCAGUGAAGACUCUCUCAGGGAUGCAAAACAUUUGGUCAC